rnacentral:rRNA from 1 species
GCGGCGUGCUUAACACAUGCAAGUCGAACGGAAAGGCCCUGCUUUUGUGGGGUGCUCGAGUGGCGAACGGGUGAGUAACACGUGAGUAACCUGCCCUUGACUUUGGGAUAACUUCAGGAAACUGGGGCUAAUACCGGAUAGGAGCUCCUGCUGCAUGGUGGGGGUUGGAAAGUUUCGGCGGUUGGGGAUGGACUCGCGGCUUAUCAGCUUGUUGGUGGGGUAGUGGCUUACCAAGGCUUUGACGGGUAGCCGGCCUGAGAGGGUGACCGGCCACAUUGGGACUGAGAUACGGCCCAGACUCCUACGGGAGGCAGCAGUGGGGAAUAUUGCACAAUGGGCGGAAGCCUGAUGCAGCAACGCCGCGUGCGGGAUGACGGCCUUCGGGUUGUAAACCGCUUUCGCCUGUGACGAAGCGUGAGUGACGGUAAUGGGUAAAGAAGCACCGGCUAACUACGUGCCAGCAGCCGCGGUGAUACGUAGGGUGCGAGCGUUGUCCGGAUUUAUUGGGCGUAAAGGGCUCGUAGGUGGUUGAUCGCGUCGGAAGUGUAAUCUUGGGGCUUAACCCUGAGCGUGCUUUCGAUACGGGUUGACUUGAGGAAGGUAGGGGAGAAUGGAAUUCCUGGUGGAGCGGUGGAAUGCGCAGAUAUCAGGAGGAACACCAGUGGCGAAGGCGGUUCUCUGGGCCUUUCCUGACGCUGAGGAGCGAAAGCGUGGGGAGCGAACAGGCUUAGAUACCCUGGUAGUCCACGCUGUAAACGGUGGGUACUAGGUGUGGGGUCCAUUCCACGGGUUCCGUGCCGUAGCUAACGCUUUAAGUACCCCGCCUGGGGAGUACGGCCGCAAGGCUAAAACUCAAAGGAAUUGACGGGGCCCCGCACAAGCGGCGGAGCAUGCGGAUUAAUUCGAUGCAACGCGUAGAACCUUACCUGGGUUUGACAUGGAUCGGGAGUGCUCAGAGAUGGGUGUGCCUCUUUUGGGGUCGGUUCACAGGUGGUGCAUGCCUGUCGUCAGCUCGUGUCGUGAGAUGUUGGGUUAAGUCCCGCAACGAGCGCAACCCUUGUUCACUGUUGCCAGCACGUUAUGGUGGGGACUCAGUGGAGACCGCCGGGGUCAACUCGGAGGAAGGUGGGGAUGACGUCAAGUCCUCAUGCCCCUUAUGUCCAGGGCUUCACGCAUGCUACAAUGGCUGGUACAGAGAGUGGCGAGCCUGUGAGGGUGAGCGAAUCUCGGAAAGCCGGUCUCAGUUCGGAUUGGGGUCUGCAACUCGACCUCAUGAAGUCGGAGUCGCUAGUAAUCGCAGAUCAGCAACGCUGCGGUGAAUACGUUCCCGGGGCUUGUACACACCGCCCGUCAAGUCAUGAAAGUUGGUAACACCCGAAGCCGGUGGCCUAACCGUUGUGGGGGAGCCGUCGAAGGUGGGACUGGUGAUU